rnacentral:misc_RNA from 1 species
GGAAGAUGGAAGUGAACGGGUAGAUUCCAACGUUAAGGUAGGCUAUUCUUUGCAGAAUUUUCAUUCUAGAACUAGCCAAGAGUGCAUUAUUUCUGGAGAAGAAAAUCUCCACUGACCCAGUAGCCCACCGGAGGACUUGAUGCAGCCUAUCAGUGAGAUUGAUCGGCGCAGUUCCACGAAAAGCAUCGCGUUUAGUUACACAGUAAAUGGACUUCCAUCCCCU